rnacentral:rRNA from 1 species
ACGGGGAGCACCACAACAGGUGGAGCCUGCGGUUUAAUCGGACUCAACGCCGGGAAACUCACCAGAUAAGACAGCUGAAUGAUAGUCGGGCUGAGGACUCUACUUGACUAGCUGAGAGGAGGUGCAUGGCCGUCGUCAGUUCGUACUGUGAAGCAUCCUGUUAAGUCAGGCAACGAGCGAGACCCACGCCAACAGUUGCCAGCUCGUCCUCCGGGGUGGUGGGGACACUGUUGGGACCGCCUCUGCUAAAGAGGAGGAAGGAAUGGGCAACGGUAGGUCAGCAUGCCCCGAAUUAUCUGGGCUACACGCGGGCUACAAUGGGUGGGACAAUGGGUAUCGACACCGAAAGGUGAAGGCAAUCUCCUAAACCCAUCCGUAGUUCGGAUUGUGGGCUGCAACUCGCCCACAUGAAGCUGGAAUCUGUAGUAAUCGUGUCUCAAAAUGGCACGGUGAAUAUGUCCCUGCUCCUU